rnacentral:tRNA from 1 species
GGCAGGAUAGCUCAGUUGGCUAGAGCACAGGACUCAUAAGCCUGGGGUCGUGGGUUCGAACCCCACUCCUGCUACGA